UACGAAGGGGGCUAGCGUUGCUCGGAUUUACUGGGCGUAAAGGGCGCGUAGGCGGACAUUUAAGUCGGGGGUGAAAGCCCGGGCUCAACCUCGGAAUUGCCUUCGAUACUGGAUGUCUUGAGUGUGAGAGAGGUGUGUGGAACUCCGAGUGUAGAGGUGAAUUCGUAGAUAUUCGGAAGAACACCAGUGGCGAAGGCGACACACUGGCUCACUACUGACGCUGAGGCGCGAAGCUAGGGAGCGAACGGG
rnacentral:rRNA from 1 species